rnacentral:lncRNA from 1 species
CCACGAAUCCAACCAGUUAUCCUUGCCUUGCAAACUCCAGCUUUUUUGCACAACAUCUCGACAAUCUGCCUCCUUAGCCCAGAAAGCCUCAAAUCUAAAAGGCCUUUUACCUUUUCGGAACGGAGGCUUAGAUUGAACCACCACUGGCCAAUGAUCAGAACCAAUAGCCGUUUCAUGAAUGACCACAGAAUUGGGCCAGAGGUCCUGCCACC